rnacentral:lncRNA from 1 species
GCUUCUCCUUGAAGCCUGUGCUUGGAGCUGUGCAGAAAUGAAGCUUCAUGUUUCAACAUUGUGAUAGCAGGUAGCACACAAUUUGUGAAUUUGCCAUGACGUCCUUCUCUUCUACCUCAUCCCUUAGAACAUCAUAAAAUGUAGUACAGGAGCCACUAAUCUUAUCACUGUCUCUCAAGCCCUGUUUCUUGCCAUCCCAGGUCUCUUUGUACAAGUCAUCAGGACCACUGGAGACCUCUAUCAUGAAGUUGCUAUAGAUCAUCUUUGCAGACUUCAGGGACCAGCCUGAGUCAACAGGCUGGCCCUGCUGACAUCACAGACAUCAGGACAGACCAGGAAGACACCCAUCAAAUUCUGGGCUGGAAGAUGCAGAAUACUCUGACUUUGCCCAAGACUGGGCCUUCCUCAGAAGCUCCUGAGAAGAAAAGAAUGCAGGGGCCUCAUGAAUGAGGCUCAGAAAUUCAGUUCAAAAAUCACCAAUGAGCCUCAAUCCAGGGAAGUGUAACUUAUUACCCCAAUUUUAUAAGGAAGAAC